rnacentral:lncRNA from 1 species
UUUGAAAGGCAGGGCUCCAAGUUGGUGUGGAUGAAGAUGCUUAAGGCACCAGAGAGUGUCCUUGCUAAGCACUGCCGGUACCUGUGAAGGAAGCUCUUAUACGUAGGCCUCAUCAUUUACAUGAGCUAUGGCAGCCAUCGUCUGGAAAGGGUACAAUGUGGUUCAUGCCUCCAGGGUCAUGAUAGGACUCACUGACUCAGCUGAUGCUGCCGGGGACCACAGUGGGAGACUUCAGCAUCUACAUUAGCAGGAACAUCAUCCGUGUUAGGAAAUCCAUGGAUGGGUCCCAGAGAGAUAUCCAGCUGUUGGUACCAGAGCAGUGAGCUGGUGAACUGGGCAGUGGAGGGCCAUCACAGCAGUGCCUACCC